rnacentral:rRNA from 1 species
UGGGGAAUAUUGGACAAUGGGCGAAAGCCUGAUCCAGCAAUGCCGCGUGUGUGAAGAAGGCCUGCGGGUUGUAAAGCACUUUCAGUUGGGAAGAAAAGCUCCUGGCUAAUACCCAGGGGUCUUGACGUUACCUUCAGAAGAAGCACCGGCUAAUUCCGUG